rnacentral:rRNA from 1 species
GUUUAUAGAGUCUAUACUCCAAAAGAGAUGUAGGUUAAGAGCACUAAGAGGAGUGAAUUUAGGCGUAUCCGUAUCUAGCCAGGACUAUCGCGGGAGGACACGCGAAGGAGAGGUUCAUGGGAGACGACGGCGCACGAACAGGAGGCACACAACGGCCACUCUAAAGGAAGAGAGAAAACGAGAGAAGGUCCCAGGACAAGAGAAGGAGUGAUGAGGAGAAGAAGGAAGUUAGAGAGGACAAGUCGUGGCACCUCUACCCAUGUGCUUGAUCCGUCCGGUGCCCUGCUGUCGACGAGAUCGUGGGUGGAGCACUCCUCCCCAACUCAUGUCGAGGGUCAAGUGCCUCCUCUACGGUCGUGUCAGUGACCUACGUACGGGUUCUUCGGGUUGUGCCGGUCCAACUGUAACAACCUCAUUCAACGAUAAGAAGUUUCCUGGACACCAGAACCUCUUUGCUUCCUCAACACGAGGUACCGCUCCUUUUAUUAAACAGUGUACUGGAGGUGUUUAGGUUACAGGACCACGCUGGGUUCCACCAGAUAUUGUUGGCCUGGUCGUUUAUACACUACACCUACGUGUAUCUGCUACGCUUGAUGUGGUUUAGGAGUUAGUCGCACCGCUGCUCACUAAGAGGGUACCCUGGUAAGUGAAUAGAGAUGUCGUUCGCGGGUGUAUUGAUGCUUUCGUCUCUGUACUGGUAAAAGUUCCUACUACUGCCCUUCCGGAUGGACUAUAUAAGUAGGUUCCCGUUGUUGCUCGAGGUGUAACGCGUCGAUUGGCUACUGAUGGAGCUGCACUGGCUGCCGUACGCUUCUUAAGAGCAGCGUGCCAUAGCUCUUCGGGAGUGCGAGAAGUUCAAGGCACUGUGGCUGAUGUACUAUUGGAACCCAAUGUGGCCGACCCGUGGCUUGUGACGUUCCACUUCUUUUUAAGUCUACCCUUUGAUGUGUAUAUAUGACAUACGAUAUGUUUAUAACGUUGUAUGUACCCACGGUUACGCCUACAGCUACAACGGAUAACAUACAAACAACUAAGACAAACUCCGUGUAUACAAACAACUAAGACAAAGACCCAACCGGGAACUCCCCCUCUCCUUUCGUUUGAAGUCGUACGAAGUCUAAAGACGAGAAACCAACCGUUACCAGGCUUACCUCCAGUUUGAUCGUAAGGGGGUCCUGUCUGGCGGUGAAAGGCAGUAAAGCCGACGUUUCUAACGUCCACAAAGGUAUUAGUAACUAGGCUGGGAACGGAGUCCAAGUCACGGGUGUGAUGUGAAGUCAAGACCCCUAAAAUAUGUACCACAGUUGUGUUAAGAGGCUAUGUAACGUGCACGACGUAGACAAAGGUCGAAGAUACCGGUCCUGCUAUAAGUCCGUCGUGUUCAACUGGUUACCGAGUUCAUGUGUGGUGAGUAAGAGAGUCCGAGACUUAAACUUCGACGAACGAGUAAAGAACUACCUAUGAACCGUUUAGCUCGGAAAAACCAACCAAUACCAGAUAGUUAACGACUGUAACAGCACACCAGUUUAGAGUGUCCAGUGGUACCAAGGUAACAGUAUAGUAAGGAGUAUACGACGACAAAUCGUAGUGUUUUCUUCUUCCGGUCUCAAUAAAGAAGGAAAACCUAUAAAAGGUAGUAUUGAUCGUCGGUUAGACUCGGCUUAUAGACUUCGUUAAAGACAAUUUAAACAAACUUCUACUAUGAUACGUUCUACGCAUUCGACCCCUACCGUACCGUCACGUACGACUACGACAGCCAGUUCUUCAUGGUAUGGCCAUACCUAGCCACUACAACAGCUACGGGUAUCUCGGUAACGGAGUACGUACUACACACAAAACACACACGGUCAAACGGCCAAUCACUCACUAUUAUAAGCCUACCUACAAAGUAGCCACAUCGUUCACUAGUCGUUAUCUGUCGAGAAUGAAAACCUAACUUCACGUCUAGAACGAUUUCUCAAUUGAUACCUGAGUAAAUACAUAAGAAUACGGGGUUACGAAGUAAUUCAUAAGAAUAAAGACGUUGUAUUUUAAUAAAGAAUGGUAGAAGAUAACAAAGGAGACAAAAAUAGUCAAUAAGUCACUUGUGGUGUAUUUUAAUAAAGAAUGGUAGGAGAUAACAAAGGAGACAAAAAUAGUCAAUAAGUCACUUGUGGUGUACAGUGUACUUAAAAACUGAUGAACAGAUGUCCAUUAACCAAUCUUAGUCAAAGAACUCAAACGAACGAAUCGUACAUUAUAAAGUGUGAGUGAUUAACAUAAUAAAGUGCCAACCGUUAACAAUCUUAGUCCAGAACUCAAACGAACGAAUUAGCAGGGACACAUUAACGAGUGGUUCGAGCGGUUAACACUCAAACAGGGUGUGUUACCUCAAAGAUACUUAAAAACAUCAGGUUUUAAGAACCUUUAAGAGAACAACGACAAUAUUACACCCACACAAGCCGAAGGAAGAAGUAAUUUCAAACUGUCCUCAGCAUUUUGGUUGCCUAUUCUCUGACAAACUACCACUUUCUUACAUACGAGCACCACUGAUGGAGUUCACACGGUCUCAUACAAACAAACCCGACGUUAAAGGUACCGACGUCGACUUCCUCGCCGACAUCGGCCACUACUUCUCUCCGUGAAACGUAAACGGGUGGUCUUCAUGUCUAGCCAUUUCAUGUCUCUUCGAAGUCUCGUACCGUUGUAACAAAUACUCUUCUAGUGCUGUUUGAUGAAGAACCUCAAUGAUGAUAGUCAAAUACUGAACCACGAUCGACUUCGAAGAUAAAAGAUGGGUUUGACGAUAAUUGUGUUUUUCAAUUACCAUAAAGUAUUGAUUACCUAACUCGUCGUUGAGAUCGCUAGGUCUUAAAAUAGGAUUCGACGAUAAUUUGAGUGUUCUCCCUCGUAAAAUUAUUGUUUUCUUGAGAUCGGUACGAAAAACUAUAUGAUGCAUAUGCAUACUACAUGAUCGUCAAGGAUAAAACAUUGAUAACGCAUGAUCUUUUAACUUAACCGUUACAUAAGUAUUUAUACUACAUAAUUUAAUACAGGACUCUC